GAAAGCUCCGCAAUCCCCGCCUCAGCCGAAGCCUCCAAUUCCCGCCUCAGGAAAGCUCCGCAAUCCCCGCUUCAGGCACCGCCCCGCCAUUCCCGCCUCAGGCACCGUUUUGUCGGGUGGGCUCUUGAGGUAAAGACGUUGGAGACGGAGAGUAUUUCUCCUUGUCCCUCUGUUUUGGGGAAUAAGUGAUGCUUGUUAUAGAUUCCCUAGUGCAGGUGACUGACAUCCCUUCCUGGGCGCUGCUGGCUGCUGCUCCCUGCCAGGUGGUGGACUUGAGUAUUAGAAGAAGUAAAAUUGCAAAUCACCUGGAUUUCAUCUUGUGAAAAUUGCUACUUGCUCUGCUUUUUGGGCUCUCUGGAACCCUGAGAUCCAUGGAGAAUCUCCUGGAUGCUGCUAAUGUGAAAUCUGUUCAGCAAGAGAAUUCAGCAUUUGAGGAUUAUCUAGAAAUUUCCAGAUCAUCUCCAAAGACUGCUGCUCUUCAAAAAUCAGGCUGGCAAGGUCAAGAAGCACCUGAAGAAAAGGAUAAACACUAUCAGAGGAAAAUUGUGUGAUGAGUAUGUUUAAAGAGUCGUAUAUAACUAUUCAUGGUAAAGUUGUAACUGCUAAACUGUGGAAGAUGUGGUUUUAUUUUUGUAACAGAAAAGAAGAUAAUUUACUAUCUCUCAGCCCAGCAUUCCCAAAAUAGUGAUGCUUUUUGAUCCAGCAUGAGCUAAGACAACCUUAACAAGGCCAGAGGCUUUUCACCCAAAAGAAUCAUCUUUUGACUGCGAUUGCUGACGUCCUGGGCUAAGGCAGCGUUCACAGGCCUCAAUAUUUCUAGAGGAGCUUUGGGGAUUUUAAAAUUUUAUCUAUUUAUUAUUUUAACAGGGAGGAGCCAGUAUUCUGGUUUUGUUGUUUGGGGGAUUUUUAAACAGAAAAAGCAGCAGAAUGCAAGUGGAAAAUUAAGGACUGAUUCACUGACUCCAGUGUCUCUCCAAAAACAUGUCAGUCAUUUGUUACAGCGAGAAUGAAAAAAACCUUCUGGUAGAGACUGUAAAACUCCAAAAAAAAAAUAGGGGCUGCCAUCCUUUCCUGUAAGAAAUCUUACAGUUUAAAACCUUCAAAUUAUUGCUUGUGAAUAUAAGGCUCCUCAAACUUCAUGUUGGCUGAACUUGUCAAAAUAAAUUCCCACUUCAUUUCCACUUGCUGACGUGCUCAGGAGGAGGAAGCUGGCCAAAGACAUGGCCCAUUGCAGGUUUAUUCAGCCCUUAAGUCAUGGUGGACUGGACAAACAGACUGCAGCUCUCAUUGCUUCCCCACCUGCCACCAGCACCUGGUGAGAAGUGAGCACUUCCACUCUCCCCAGGCAGCAGGGCUUCAUAGCUCAUUACUGUACCCAGUUCUGUGGGACAUACCAUCUUUUUCCAUUUGACAAAAAGAAAAUGGCAUGGCUUGGGUGAAAUUGGAAACCUUGCAUCAGCCUGACAUGGACCAUUGAUCCCUGACAGUUCUUCACAUGGCAUCUGCUUCAUUCAUCUCCUGGCCCAGGGCCAGCAGUGACUGCUGCCAGGUAGAAAGGGGAAGACUUUUAAGCAGGAAUGGGAGUAGGAAAGAAUCAAGUGCUGUCCUUGGAAGAAUGGAACAAAAUAAUUUAAGCUGAAAUUUGCAGUACGUGAAGAAAGGAAAUACUGGCCAAUCAUCUGGGUCAGCUAGAAUAAGAUUCAAUAAACAAGUUAAUGCAGGAGUUUAAUUUAUUAAUUUUAAAAAAAGGCUCAGUGCAGUAGAAGUCAAGGUGACACUCUAGAAGAGGAGUGAAAGAUGGAAGAGCAGAAAAAAGGUAUGAUGUCUUCAAAUCAGUCUUGGCAACCUUUCUUUUUGGGAGCUUCAGCUUUCUGGAAGCAAACUCUAAAUGCUCUGAAAAAUAAAUUAAUUCCAGGAGAAAAAAAUCUCCAUUUCAAAGCUCUGA